rnacentral:rRNA from 1 species
AAAUGAAUAGACGGGGACCCGCACAAGCAGCGGAGCAUGUGGCUUAAUUCGAAGCAACGCGAAGAACCUUACCUGGCCUUGACAUGCAGGUGAAGCGGCGGAAACGCCGUGGCCGGAAGGAGCCUGCGCAGGUGGUGCAUGGCUGUCGUCAGCUCGUGUCGUGAGAUGUUAGGUUAAGUCCUGCAACGAGCGCAACCCCCGUCGCAUGUUGCCAGCAUCAAGUUGGGGACUCAUGCGAGACUGCCGGCGUCAAGCCGGAGGAAGGUGGGGACGACGUCAAGUCAUCAUGCCCCUUAUGGCCAGGGCCGCACACGUGCUACAUUGGCCGGUACAGAGGGCUGCGAACCCGCGAGGGCGAGCGAAUCCCGGAAAGCCGGCCCCAGUUCGGAUCGCAGGCUGCAACCCGCCUGCGUGAAGCCGGAGUUGCUAGUAAUCGCGGAUCAGCACGCCGCGGUGAAUACGUUCCCGGGUCUUGUACACACCGCCCGU